GGACAUGGUGGCCGAGACCGGCGGGGUGGGGGACGUGUCGCGCGGCCGGGUGGCCUCGGUCGGUACCCUGGGCGCGGAGCAGCUGCCUCAUUAGUAUUCGUACCCACGAGGCGGCGCAGCGGGCCCUCGGGGAGAGCGAGCGUCGCGGCCAUGGCUUAUCACUCGGGCUACGGAGCCCACGGCUCCAAGCACAGGGCCCGGGCAGCCCCGGAUCCCCCUCCCCUCUUCGAUGACACAAGCGGUGGUUAUUCCAGCCAGCCCGGGGGAUACCCAGCCUCAGGAGCAGACGUGGCCUUCAGUGUCAGCCACUUGCUUGGGGACCCAAUGGCCAAUGUGGCUAUGGCCUAUGGCAGCUCCAUCGCAUCCCAUGGGAAGGACAUGGUGCACAAGGAGGUGUGGCCUGCCCCGGGGCACGGGUGGCAGAAUUUUUGGCUAGGGCUGGGGCAUCAUGGGAUUCCACCCGAUUCCUCACAGUGCCCUCAGGAAUGGAGCACACAGAGGGGCACCCUGAGGCCUGGGGUGCGGCUUGCCCACAGCCU
rnacentral:sRNA from 1 species